GCGCUUACCGCCCAGCCGGCUCAGAGAUUGAAGGACAACAAAAAAUGUCUGCAUUCGGUGGGUGCCUCCUUCUCUGGAGUGCAGGUGGUGGGACCAGGCUAUUCUAGGGGAGCUGCCCAUACGCCCUCCCACGAGGAAGUCUGCCAGAGCUGCACAAAGCACCUUGAGGUGACAUUUCCAGAAAUGGCAGUUCAGCGUGACAAAGGACACAACACUGCUGGGAAGAUAAGUGAAAGGUGACAAGACCAUGCAGCUGCCAAGGAACAGGAUCUCUUUGGUAACCUCACGUCAGCACUAGAUGUAACCAAGUUCAAGUGUUGUAAUCUUGAUGGAGAUUCAAGUCAACCUCCAUUGCUAAUGCUCGCAUCUGAUUUCUGUGAUAUGGACUGCAUGGAAUUAACCCAAAAGCUGUUACUGAAGCCUUUAAACCUGAUGAAAGUCAUCCAGAGUGACUGCUGAGAACAGCAUAGGGAACAGGUUCUGUGAAUCCCAAAGGAAACAAUAUUCAUCUUUUCAUCCUGGAGGAAGGAGCUGCCUAAAAGGAAGACUGCUGAGAACACAAAGCACUGACACAAUGUUUGAGAUGUUCUAUAGAAGCAACAUACAGAGAUUGCACCAUUCAUCAAGCUGCAUAUAUUGCUCCUUUGCAAACAGUUUUUUCCCCCUGUUUUUUUUUUUUUUUCUCAGCUGCCAAAGUGGUAAGGAAAAUCAUUUAGUUCGUCAUGUGAGUCCCCUGUGAAGGUACUGAGCUGGACAGUACUUGCUAAGACUUCCAGACAAAAGAGGACAAUACAGACAACUCAGCAGGGAGAGCAUAAAACUAGAAAAUCUUGGAAGUUGUGGUUGCUUGUCUCCUCACUCAAGGAGCUACAAUGAACUGAAAAAGUUGUACCCCGAAAAUUCCCUGAAAUCUUUCCUGUUUGGUCUCAAUGGUGCCAUUGAGACCAAACUGAAAAGAUAUGGGGCUGUCUAAAUAGGAAAACAAUUCCCUAGUUCAGAAAAAAAAAAAGGUACUGGACACCAAAAACUUUGUGACUUGAUAAAUGGAACAUGACACUAGGUAGCAAUAACAAGAAAAGAGUUUUCACUUUAGAAAAAAAAAUCUUAUCAGCCACCCACCAUGCGCUAUAAUUUAAAAGCUUUUGAGCAAAAAAGCACUGCUUUACUGCUAAAAGGUUUAAAAUGCUGCAGUAUGUAGACCAAAAAGUCUUGAUUAGCUGUGGCAGAUGAGUCAGCAGAGAAACAGUUCACAAUGCAGUGCAGCCCUUACAUUUUGACAUGUAUUGUUAAGGGCUCCCCAAAGUCAUUCCAAAGAGGCAAAGUAAGAAGGAAAAAAGAAAAAAAAAAUUGAAAAAUAAAAAGAAAAAAGAAGAAAAGGAAAUUUUGGCAUAAUGAAUUCAACCUUGAAAAUAACAUAAAGGAAAGGAUAUGAAAAUGGAGGGCAUAGCAUUCUUCAUCAACAUAGAUUUUGUGGAGAUUUUGGAAUUAGCAUACAAAAUUUAGUCUUUCCUGUCACAGGGGAUUCCCCAACAUGUCUAUGUAUUGGAUUGUCCUGGCACACUCCAGGCAGAAACUUACUUUUGCAGCCAGGGAAGCAGUGUUUUAAUAUUAUGUGCUACAACACAAGCUCUUUUCUAUUUUUGAGAGAAAGAAAAUGUUACAUAAAUACAGUAACAGAUGUGCAGUAGUGCUGGAUGACUACACAUUGUGCAUCUAUAUGUGACUCUACUAUCUAAAAAUCUAAAGAAACAAAAAUAAUUUGAUUGAAGGCCUGGAUAAAACAUAUCCCAGUAA